CUACGGGAGGCACCAGUGGGGAAUAUUGCACAAUGGGCGCAAGCCUGAUGCAGCCAUGCCGCGUGUAUGAAGAAGGCCUUCGGGUUGUAAAGUACUUUCAGCGGGGAGGAAGGGAGUAAAGUUAAUACCUUUGCUCAUUGACGUUACCCGCAGAAGAAGCACCGGCUAACUCCGUGCCAGCAGCCGCGGUAAUACGGAGGGUGCAAGCGUUAAUCGGAAUUACUGGGCGUAAAGCGCACGCAGGCGGUUUGUUAAGUCAGAUGUGAAAUCCCCGGGCUCAACCUGGGAACUGCAUCUGAUACUGGCAAGCUUGAGUCUCGUAGAGGGGGGUAGAAUUCCAGGUGUAGCGGUGAAAUGCGUGGAGAUCUGGAGGAAUACCGGUGGCGAAGGCGGCCCCCUGGACGAAGACUGACGCUCAGGUGCGAAAGCGUGGGGAGCAAACAGGAUUAGAUACCCCAGUAGUC
rnacentral:rRNA from 1 species